AGGAAUUUUCAUUUCUUUUUACAAAAGAAAAGUUGGUUUGGUUGGUCCAAGAACGUUUGGUUGGUCUUGGUCACAACCUCAGUGAAUGAGUCUUACUUUCCUAGUUUGAGACUACCAAAUCUAACGGUCAAAUAUCACAUUACACCCCCAUUCAUAUUUUGUUGUUUGUCUUAUUUUCUUCUACUCAUUUUGAGAUUACUACAUCAAUUCAAAGCUAUUGAUGGGAACAUUCGGAUUUGGCAUUGCUCUGCCUCUACCAUUGUGUCCCAAGCAGCCACAUACAGAGAUUAUGAACUUCAGAGUUUGUUUUGAGACCUGAGAAUGAAUGUGUUAGGCCAAAAGGGACGAAAGCUAUAGAAGGAUCCAUUGGCGCGACCUUUAUGCACGUGAAUAUAUUUACACACCAUCAAAACUACUUCAUUUUUUUUUAUGAAAUGAAUAUACCACCAUAACAAAUGCACAAGCGACAACGAGAAAUCAUUCUCUAUAAGAACAAGACUUGUCACGAAUGCAAUCGUUUGCUGCUUUCUGUUAUCAGGCAUUACACGGAUCUUUUGGGACCAUAUAAACUCAUUACCUAACAAAAUUUGUAGCAGUGUUUGCCAAGGUAUAUAAUAAUUUCAUGAAUAAAUUUGGCUCUUGUAUUAUUCAGAGGGGGGGCUAGUGGGUUGAGCCUACAUGACAAUGUAGUUAUUAUGCGCACAGAAUACAUAACAAUGCCAUGUCCCUAAAAGAUCGUACGUUCAAGUUCAAUAAUAGAACCAUAUCUUGGGGAUGGUUUGUUCGUAAAGGAUGGGGUAUAAACUUCCCAAGUGGUUUACAUGUCCUCUGAACUUUCUUGUUGGUAUACAUGUCCUAUAACAUGGUUGAAAGCUUGUUAAUUGUAUUGUUGAUGUAUCAAGUUGGAGUAUCUCUUGCAGUCGGUUUGAAUAGUUUUUGCUUAUCAAAAAAAUUACCAUGUACCACCCAACACUAGCCAUUAUCAACACCACUGAAAUAUUGUGAUUAAUGUGAUAGAUUUUAAGACUAAAAAUUUAA